GGAUGUCAGUGGUCCAUGAAAACUACUGGAAAUGGCUUGAGAAAGAUUGCCUUGCAUCACUGAGCGUGUAAGUCAUUUACCGGGGGAAGUUUGCUGUAGCACAUCAUGCAAUAGAGAAGGUUGAAAUCUAGCCCAAUUCUCAGCCCGAGGUGCUCCCUUACCCGAGAGCUCUGUGCCACUGUAAGGAUGCUGGAUUUCUGGCUGCCACUGACCCUCUGCACACGCAGGAGAUGGGCAGCAGGAUUUGUUCAGCUCCCUUCCCUGGCCCCCUGGUUGCAAGCUGUACCUUUCAAGGUACUAUCGUGCAAUAGCAGGAGAGCUCUGCUCCGAGCUGCACUGCAUGGGCACUGUUGUACUGCAUGCAAUAUUUAUCAUAGCCCUAAGACACUGUGGAUCCAGCACAGUAUUUCACGGGGCAUAUGCAAGCUUUGUAUAAGAUCCAGCUGUAACAGAACUCAGCUCAUCCAGGCAACACAUCUAUGAUUUUUUUCACUUUUGAACAGGGUUCAAGGACCAGCCAGCCUUCACGUGAGGGACUAAACACCACAGCACAGUGUGUGCCAGUAGGAGACCCUGGGUGGGAAGGGGGGCUGCUGCUGUGUCCUGGAGUGCUUCACACCUGCCAGGUACACUGAAACACCUGCCCAUAACGCCCCAGGCCCAAUAAAAGCAUCUAUCAGCAAUAAUAACCUUUCUUGGUGAUAGCCAUUAUACAGCACCUCUAGUAUCUGAUAACUGGAGGAGUUAAACUUCCUGGAUUGCUUUAACUCCCAGAAAAGAACAAAAAGCAUCUGUGAACCAUUGAAGACAACAUUCUCACACUAAAUCCUUUCAGACUGAGCUAGCUCUUUCCAAGUAACUUUAACCAGUAUCACUCAUUU